rnacentral:tRNA from 3 species
UGGGGGUUAGGCUAAAAUAAACCGUUUGCCUUCAAAGCAAAAACUGUGGGUGUGAGUCCCGCACCUCUAG